CGAACGGUUGGUAGCAAUACCAAUAGUGGCGCACGGGUGCGUAACGCGUAACCAACCUACCCGAAUCUGGGGGAUAGCCCGCCGAAAGGCGGAUUAAUACCGCAUAAAACUGCAGCCUGGCAUCAGGCAACAGUUAAAGAUUUAUUGGAUUCGGAUGGGGUUGCGUGCCAUUAGCUAGUUGGCGGGGUAACGGCCCACCAAGGCGACGAUGGCUAGGGGAGCUGAGAGGCUGGUCCCCCACACGGGCACUGAGAUACGGGCCCGACUCCUACGGGAGGCAGCAGUAGGGAAUAUUGGGCAAUGGUCGAGAGACUGACCCAGCCAUGCCGCGUGCAGGAUGAAGGCUUUCUGAGUCGUAAACUGCUUUUACCAGGGAAGAAAAAAGGGGAUGCGUCCUCUACUGACGGUACCUGGUGAAUAAGCACCGGCUAACUCCGUGCCAGCAGCCGCGGUAAUACGGAGGGUGCAAGCGUUGUCCGGAUUUAUUGGGUUUAAAGGGUGCGUAGGCGGCUGAUUAAGUCUGGGGUGAAAGCCCGUUGCUCAACAACGGAACUGCCCUGGAAACUGGUUAGCUUCAGUACAGACGAGGGUGGCGGAAUGGAUACUGUAGCGGUGAAAUGCAUAGAUAGUAUCCAGAACCCCGAUUGCGAAGGCAGCUGCCUAGACUGUAACUGACGCUGAGGCACGAAAGCGUGGGGAGCGAACAGGAUUAGAUACCCU
rnacentral:rRNA from 1 species